rnacentral:rRNA from 1 species
UACAGAGGGUGCAAGCGUUGUUCGGAAUUAUUGGGCGUAAAGCGCGUGUAGGCGGCUUUGCAAGUCGGGUGUGAAAGCCCUCAGCUCAACUGAGGAAGUGCGCCCGAAACUGCAGAGCUUGAGUACCGGAGAGGAUGGCGGAAUUCCCCAAGUAGAGGUGAAAUUCGUAGAUAUGGGGAGGAACACCGGUGGCGAAGGCGGCCAUCUGGACGGAUACUGACGUUGAGACGCGAAAGCGUGGGUAGCAAACAGG